AAGCUUAAGAGGGCCGACGACGAAUGCCUAGGGACAAAUUGCCGAAGAAGGACGCGUAAGCGGCGAAACGUCUAGGGGAGCUGCACAGAAGCUUUGAUCCUAGAAUUUCCGAAUGGAGAAAUCCGGCUAGAGUCAUGUUUAGUCACUCAUAUCUGAACACAUAGGAUAUGUAGAGGGAACCUGGUGAACUGAAACAUCUAAGUAACCAGUGGAAAAGAAAUCGAAGAGAUUCCGUAAGUAGCGGCGAGCGAAAGCGGAUUAGCCCAAACCAGCAGGCUUGCCUGCUGGGGUUGUAGGACCACCACUAACUUUCUCUAAUCAAGACAUCUGCAAAGAUGGUUUGAUUAGCGGAAGUUAGAAAAACAAGGUUUACAGUUAAUAGAACAAGUUUGGAAAGACUGGCCAUAGAGGGUGAUAGCCCCGUAUAUGAAAACACGUAAACAAUUUGUAGGUGGCACCUGAGUAGCACGGAGCACGUGGAACCCCGUGUGAACCCGCCGAGACCACUCGGUAAGGCUAAAUACAAUUUGUCACCGAUAGUGCAUCCAGUACCGUGAGGGAAAGGUGAAAAGAACCCCGGGUAGGGGAGUGAAAUAGAACCUGAAAUCGUCGAGUCCACAAACAGUCAGAGCACCAUGUUCGGAGUAAUCCGUCCAAGUGCGAUGGCGUACCUUUUGCAGAAUGAGCCUGCGAGUUACUAGUGUUGGCAAGCCUAAGUGUUUCAGACAUGGAGGCGGAGAGAAAUCGAGUCCGAAUAGGGCGUCAAGUCAGCAUUAGUAGACCCGAAACUGCGUGAUCUAGCCAUGGUCAGGCUGAAGUGAUGGUAACACAUCAUGGAGGGCCGAACUCAUAGACGUUGAAAAGUCUCGGGAUGAACUGUGGUUAGUCCGGUGAAAUGCCAAUCGAACGCAGAGAUAGCUGGUUCUCCCCGAAAUGCAUUGAGGUGCAGCGUCUGGAAUUGUUUCAUGGGGGUAGAGCACUGAAUGGGCUAGGGGCCUUACCGUCUUACCAAACCCAACCAAACUCCGAAUACCAUGAAAUUGAGCCAGGCAGUGAGACGGUGAGUGAUAAGAUCCAUCGUCAAAAGGGAAACAACCCAGAUCGACAGCUAAGGGCCCUAAACGAUGACUAAGUGUGAAACGAUGUGAGAUCGCGUAAACAGCCAGGAGGUUGGCUUGGAAGCAGCCACCCUUUAAAAAGUGCGUAACAGCUUACUGGCCGAAUGUGAUCUUGCGCGGAUAAUGUAAGGGGGCUAAAGUCAUCUCCCGAAGCUUCGGGAUCAUCGUAAGAUGAUCGGUAGGGGAGCGUUGGGUAUGCAGUGAAGCUGUAGCGGAAGCAACAGUGGAGCGUACUCAAGUGAGAAUGCAGGCAUGAGUAGUGAUAAGAAAGGUGAGAAUCCUUUCCGCCGAAAAUCUAAGGUUUCUCCGGCUAUGUUCGUCAGACGGAGGUUAGGCGGUCCCUAAGGUGAGGCCAGAAGGCGUAGCCGAUGGACAUCCAGUAGACAUUCUGGACCCAGUUAUAUGAGCCAAGGGAGGACGUUUCUCAAUUUCUGAUCCCGCACUGUUGGUAGUUGCGGGCUAGGCCGAAACCCUAGUUCCUGUUAAGGGAACUUUUCAAGUGGGCGGGGCCGGGGAAGGAAGUUCUUCGGAAUGACCGAACUCAGAAUGCGAGGGGCCUAGAAAAUUCCCGUAGCGUUAAUUGUAUAGCUGACCGUACUGCAAACCGACACAGGUAGAUGAGUCGAGGAGACUCAGGCGUUCGAGAGAACUCUCGUUAAGGAACUAGGCAAAUGAGCCCCGUACGUUCGCAAUAAGGGGCGCCCCGCAAGGGGCCGCAGCGAAGCAUCCAUGGCGACUGUUUACCAAAAACACAGGUCUCUGCUAAGGCGAAAGCCGAAGUAUAGGGGCUGACACCUGCCCAAUGCUCGUAGGUUAACAGGAGAUGUUAGGGGUAACCCGAAGCAUUGAAUCGAAGCCCGAGUGAAUGGCGGCCGUAACUCUAACGGUCCUAAGGUAGCGAAAUUCCUUGUCGGCUAAAUACCGACCCGCAUGAAAGGUGUAACGACUAUGGAACUGUCUCAACGAGAAGCUCGAUGAAACUGUAGUGCCCGUGAAGAUGCGGGCUAUGCGCAGUAGGACGGAAAGACCCCGUGGAGCUUUACUACACCUUGACAUUGUGAAUUGGGUGUAAAUGCAGAGCGUAGGUGGGAGCUUCGGCGCCAAUGGAACACCACCCUUUUGCAUCUGGUUCACUAACCUGACCCGUAAUCCGGGCCGGAGACAUUGUCAGGCGGGUAGUUUGACUGGGGCGGUCGCCUCCGAAAAGGUAACGGAGGCGCCUAAAGAUCCACUCAGGCUGGUUGGAAAUCAGCCGUUGAGCGUAUUGGUAUAGAGUGGGUUUGACUGUGAGACAUACAAGUCGAGCAGGGACGAAAGUCGAGCAAAGUGACCCUCUGGUUGUGCGUGGGCACGCCAGGGUUCAACGGAUAUAAGCUACCCCGGGGAUAACAGGCUGAUCUUGCCCGAGCGCUCACAGCGACGGCAUGGUUUGGCACCUCGAUGUCGGCUCGUCGCAUCCUGGGGCUGUACAAGGUCCCAAGGGUUCCGGAGUUCACGGAUUAAAGCGGCACGCGAGCUGGGUUCAGAACGGCGUGAGCCAGUUCGGUCCCUAUCCACUGCGCACGUAAGAAAUUUGAGAGGAGUCGCCCUUAGUACGAGAGGACCGGGGUGAACAGACCUCUGGUGUACCAGUUGUUCCGCCAGGAGCAUACGCUGGGUAGCCACGUCUGGUCGGGAUAAGCGCUGAAAGCAUCUAAGCGCCAAGCCCACCUCAAGAUUAGAUUUCUCAUAUUAGUAAGGACACUUGAAGACUACAAGUUUGAUAGGUCAGAGCUGUGAGCACAGUAAUGUGUUAAGGUGACUGAUACUAAUUGUCCGAGGGCUU
rnacentral:rRNA from 1 species